rnacentral:rRNA from 1 species
CCUACGGGAGGCAGCAGUAGGGAAUUUUCGGCAAUGGGGGGAACCCUGACCGAGCAACGCCGCGUGAACGAAGAAGUUAUUCGUAAUGUAAAGUUCUUUUAACAGGGAAGAAAGAGAAAUUUGACGGUACCUGAAGAAUAAGCUCCGGCUAACUACGUGCCAGCAGCCGCGGUAAUACGUAGGGAGCGAGCGUUAUCCGGAAGUAUUGGUCGAAAAGGGUGCGUAGAUGGCAUAGUAAGUCUUUUGUAAAAAUGCUGGGCUCAACCCAGUAGGGCAAAAGAUACUGCAAAGCUAGAGUAUGACAGAGGCAAGUGGAACUACAUGUGUAGCGGUAAAAUGCGUAAAUAUAUGUAAGAACACCAGUGGCGAAGGCGGCUUGCUGGGUCGAUACUGACAUUGAGGCACGAAAGCGUGGGGAGCAAACAGGAUUAGAUACCCGUGUAGUC